rnacentral:rRNA from 1 species
GGCAGCCGCCGCGGGAACACCGGCGGCCCGAGUGGUGAUCGUGAUUAUUGGGUCUAAAGGGUCCGUAGCCGGUUUGGUCAGUCCUCCGGGAAAUCUGAUAGCUCAACUAUUAGGCUUUCGGGGGAUACUGCCAGACUUGGAACCGGGAGAGGUAAGAGGUACUACAGGGGUAGGAGUGAAAUCUUGUAAUCCCUGUGGGACCACCUGUGGCGAAGGCGUCUUACCAGAACGGGUUCGACGGUGAGGGACGAAAGCUGGGGGCACGAACCGGAUUAGAUACCCGGGUAGUCCCAGCCGUAAACGAUGCUCGCUAGGUGUCAGGCAUGGCGCGACCGUGUCUGGUGCCGCAGGGAAGCCGUGAAGCGAGCCACCUGGGAAGUACGGCCGCAAGGCUGAAACUUAAAGGAAUUGGCGGGGGAGCACAACAACGGGUGGAGCCUGCGGUUUAAUUGGACUCAACGCCGGACAACUCACCGGGGGCGACAGCAAUAUGUAGGCCAAGCUGAAGACUUUGCCUGAAUCGCUGAGAGGAGGUGCAUGG